rnacentral:rRNA from 1 species
UACGUAGGCAGCGAGCGUUGUUCGGAUUUACUGGGCGUAAAGCGUGCGUAGGCGGUUUUGUAAGUUUGGUGUGAAAUCUCCCGGCUCAACUGGGAGGGUGCGCCGAAAACUGCAAGGCUGGAGUGUGGGAGAGGUAGGCGGGAUUCCUGGUGUAGCGGUGAAAUGCGCAGAUAUCAGGAGGAACACCGGUGGCGAAGGCGGUUCUCUGGGCCUUACCUGACGCUGAGGAGCGAAAGCGUGGGGAGCAAACAGG